rnacentral:misc_RNA from 1 species
CAGAGUGUAAAAACUCCCAAAACCCAUGUGAACAUACCUUUUUGUUGCUUCGGCGGGAUCGCCCCGGGCGCCUUGUGUGCCCCGGAGUCAGGCGCCCGCCGGGGACCCAAACUCUUGUUUUUAACGAGUAUCUUCUGAGUAACGUUUUUAAAUAAAUAA